GUGUCAGAGAAUCAAAGCCAAACCAAUGAAUGGAUUUGGCUGAAAUGUUUCAUAUUUUUUUUAAGGCUCAAGAGCUGGUUAUGGUUACAAUUUUUUUACCUUCAAGGCAAUUACGGCCUUAAAAUAGGAUUAAAAAAACCGAUUUUUUUGACGAACAAACUCAUAUAAAACAAAAAAUAGAGAUCUUAAAAUUCUAAGAAUUAUAAUCGCUGCAUGUCGGAACAUUGAUGUAUCAACAAACAUAAGUGAAGUUUGGGCAUAUUGGUGACAGCUGGUCCAGAUAUAAAAAAAGAUUGAAUGUACAGAGGAGGAACGGUGUAGCACCGCGACGAGGAUUUUUGUACACAACAAAAUCGAUAUUUCAAAUAUGACUGGCGUCCCCAUCCGGACCGUGCAAAAGAUUUUUAAAAUAUUCUGCAUCUUGUAGUGUCUCAGACAGGUCCCUAAAGUGGCUGGGUUAGUAAUACUAUGACUUCAUUCGGAAGGAAAUAUGGACACCAGGAGUCCGGAUUGAUGUAUUAUUUGGUCGGGGGCUAAGCUGCAUCUAAAACUAAGCAAACAUUUAAUGCGUUGGUCAUUACCUCUAUCAAGGAGACAAUGACUAACAUGACAAGAAAAAACUUCGUUAAACGCUUGCUUCUCCUUCCGGCCCGGAUCCAGACUAUGAUUGUUACUGGAGGCAGAUUCAUGAAAUGAGCCCUUUUUCCAACAUUCAUAUCUACAAUUUUGAAAUUCAACUUUCAAGUAAAUCUGCUCAAAUUUGUGAUCUCACUUAUAUAUUUACUAUUAUUUUUUAUUAUUGACAGAUUGUACCUACUUCGUGAGAAAAGGUUGUAAAAGUCAAUCAUUUUUCUUAACUAAACGGAUUAGAUAUAAAUUUAUUUUAAAAUAGUUUACAAAUUAACAACUUUUUGUUCAAAUAAUCGUAAAAAAUUUCCUAAAUAUAUAUAUCAAAACUC
rnacentral:lncRNA from 1 species